GCAUGGCUGGCUCAGUCGGGAAAGCAUGUGACUCUUGAUCUCAGGGUUGUGAGUCCGAGCCCCACGUCAAGCA
rnacentral:tRNA from 1 species